UUUGAUGUAGGAAGCGGGCGGCGCGUGAGCCGAUACAAGACUCACGAGGAGCUGCUGGUCUGCGGGGGCCAGACGAAUCGUUUCUACACGCUGCACCGCGUCACGGUGGAAACCUUUACAGAACGAAGAGAUAAAUACACAGACGAGCAUACGGCCCAUCUGAUGGUGAGACCGUCGCUGAUGGACGUCAGCAAUGCCAGGGGAACAGCCAAGCCGCUGCCUACCACUAAAGUAUAUGGUAUGUAGUAUAAUUGAAUUAUUUCUAAGCCGUUUUUAGUUUUGUUUGGAAAACAAUAAUAUACAGUGCAAUCACAGUGCGUUGUUCUAUUGAAUAGAAUUAGCUGUUGCGCAAGACCGGUCAUUGUGACAAUACUUGGAGGAGAUCUGUGCCCAGAAGUGGACGUAUUAACAAAGAGUAUUCAUGUAUCAAAUCUUUCUAAUGGAUUAAGUACUCAAGAAAUGUUCACGAUUGACUUCCAUGGUGAAGGAAUAACAUCGUGUAAUAAAAAUUAAGCCCGCAAAAUAAUAAUUUGCGUAAUUACUGGUGGUAGGACCUCUUGUGAGUCCACACGGGUAGGAACCGCCACGCAACCUAUUUCUGCCGUGAAGCAGUACUUAAUGCGUUUCGGUUUAAAGGGCUGGGCAGCCGUUGUAACUACCUGAGACCAAUAAUGUUGAAUAUUAUGCGAACAAAGUCACAAGCAACAAGUAGGAGUGCCUCUUCAAUCCUGAAGGUUGGCCGUUAGCUUCCUGUACCUAUUCAUUUCUGUCAGCAGCCAGCCGGAACAGCUGUUCGACGGAGGCAAUACCGGUCCACUCCCGGAUAUUCCGGAGCCAUGACUUUUUUCUUCACCCAGAAACUAACUAAUAGUCUCAAUUCUUAUUGUUGUAUUAAAAUAAACCUUCCAUUUAAAUAUCUAUGUUCGCCGUAACGCAAUAAAACUUUAUAAUAAAA